UUGCCGACAGUCCCUUGUCUACGGGGCUGGCUUGGCCAGGCCUGAGAGGAGCAAGGGACCCGCUGACCAUCUCCUCCCAGGUGGGGCGCGUGGGGCCCGGUAGCGCGCCUGGCCGCCCGAGCCGUGCCCGGCUUUGAAGGAGCCAGGCCGGGGAUUGAGGCAGCUCUCCUGGAGGCCUGAUCAAGAGGAGGAAGGCCCGGUCACAGCCCAUCAGCCUGCACCUGUGCACCAGGUGGGUGCCUCUGCCCGCUUCUGGCCAUUAAGGGCCUUGAUGGCAGAAACUGUAUGUUGUUCAUGUUGCAUCUAAUACAGAGUCAGCAAGGGUUAUGAGCGUGAGGCUUCCGCCAUCCAGACAGCAACCCUGUCACUGAGUGGAACCUUGGGACCUGCACUGAACCUUCCCUAAAGAACUGACGCAGGGAGCCUCCCAAGAUGUCCGUGUCUCCAGACCCCCUGAGCAUGAGCAAGAGGCUCUACAACAUAACGGUGGAUGAGUGCUUCCAGUCGCGGAACACCGUCCUCCACGGGCAGCCCUUCGGGGGCAUCCCCACUGUGCUGCUCAUCAACAUCCUCUCGUGGCUGCUCGUCAUUACGGUGUACUCCUUCCUGCGGAAAGCCGCGUGGGAUUAUGGGCGCCUGGCUCUGCUCAUCCACAAUGACAGCCUGACCUCGCUCAUCUAUGGGGAGCAGAGUGAAAAGUCUUCUCCCUCGGAGAUUUCUUUGGAAAUGGAACGCAAGGACAAGGGCUUCUGCUCCUGGUUCGUCAACAGCAUCACCAUGAAGGACCGGGAUCUGAUCAGCAAGUGUGGAGACGACGCACGCAUCUACAUCACCUUCCAGUACCACCUCAUCAUCUACAUGCUUAUCCUCUGCAUCCCCUCUCUGGGGGUCAUUCUGCCCAUCAACUACAGUGGAAAUGUGUUGGACUGGAACAGUCACUUUGGCCGGACCACCAUUGUCAAUGUGCCCACAGAGAGCAAGCUCCUCUGGCUACACAGCAUCUUCGCUUUCCUGUAUUUUAUCCUCAACUUCAUGUUCAUGGUUCGUCAUUGCCUGGGGUUUGUACCCAGGGCAAAUCUAAAGGUCACCAGGACACUGAUGAUCACCUAUGUGCCCAAAGACAUCCAAGACCCUGAGAUCAUCAUUAAGCACUUUCACGAGGCCUAUCCAGGUUGCGUUGUGACCAGAGUCCACUUCUGCUACGACGUCAGGACCCUGAUUGACUUGGAUGAUCAGAGGCGCCACGCCAUGCGGGGCCGGCUCUACUACACUGCCAAGGCCAAGAAGACCGGGAAGGUGAUGAUCCGCGUCCACCCCUGCUCACGCAUGUGCUUCUGCAGGUGCUGCACCUGCUUCAAAGAGGUAGACGCAGAGCAGUAUUACAGCGAGCUGGAGGAGCAACUGACUGAUGAGUUCAAUGCUGAGCUCAACCGUGUCCGGCUGAAGCGGCUGGACUUGAUCUUCGUCACCUUCAAUGACUUCAGGAUGGCCAAGCGCGUCCUGGAGGAUUACAAGUAUGUUCAGUGUGCUGUACCACCUCAGCAGUCCUCUAUGUCCAACACCGUCAAGUCCUAUCAGUGGAGGGUCACGCAAGCCCCACACCCCAGAGACAUUAUUUGGAAACACCUCUCCGUCCGGCGCUUUCACUGGUGGGCCCGCUUUAUUGCGAUCAACACCUUCCUCUUCUUCCUUUUCUUCUUCCUCACCACGCCUGCCAUCAUCAUCAACACUAUUGACAUGUACAACGUCACUCGCCCCAUCGAGAAGCUGCAGAGCCCGAUCGUGACCCAGUUCUUCCCCUCCCUGUUGCUCUGGGCCUUCACAGUCAUCUUGCCUCUAAUCGUCUACCUCUCAGCCUUCCUGGAGGCCCACUGGACCAGAUCAAGUCAGAACCUGAUCAUAGUGCACAAGUGCUACAUCUUUCUGGUUUUCAUGGUGGUCAUUCUGCCCUCCAUGGGGCUGACCAGCUUGGAUGUCUUUUUCCGCUGGCUCUUUGACAUCUAUUACUUGGAGCAGGCAUCCAUCAGGUUCCAGUGUGUGUUCCUGCCGGACAAUGGCGCCUUCUUCGUCAACUAUGUGAUCACGGCCGCACUGCUGGGCACUGGCAUGGAGCUCAUGCGUAUGGGCUCACUCUUCCUCUACUGCACUCGCCUCUUCUUUUCCAGAUCGGAGCCCGAGAGAGCCCACAUCAGAAAGAGCCAGGCCAUAGACUUCCAGUACGGGCGAGAGUACGCAUGGAUGUUGAAUGUCUUCAGCGUGGUCAUUGCAUACAGCAUCACCUGCCCCAUCAUCGUCCCCUUUGGACUGCUGUACCUGUGCAUGAAGCACCUCACGGACCGCUAUAACAUGUACUACUCCUACGCCCCCACCAAGCUCAACGAACAGAUCCACAUGGCUGCCGUCCACCAGGCUACCUUCGCACCACUCCUCUGUCUGUUCUGGAUGCUCUUCUUCUCCAUACUGCGCUUAGGUACCCUACACAACAUCACCAUCUUCUCCCUGGUCUCGCUGAUCAUUUCCAUGGUGAUCGCCUUUGCUGGCAUUUUCCUGGGGAAGCUUCGGAAAGACACCGACUAUGAGGAGUCCCUGCAUGACUCUGUGGUUCUUUGGCAGUGAGGCCUAGCCUGGUGAUCAGGCUGUCUGGGAGUGGGAAGCUCAUCUGCCCUCCCAGAGCCUUGCCCGCAAUGCUGUGUUCCAGCCCAGCCUGGCCCAAAGCCGACGAGACUGAGACCGUGUUUGACAUGGAGCCGAGCAGCACCUCCUCCACUCCCACCUCCCUCGUCCAAGUGCUGCCAUGGCCCUGGCUGAAGAUGUCGGAGAGGAGGCGAUCCAACAUUUAUUCAAGCUUCACUA